rnacentral:rRNA from 1 species
GACGUAGGACGCGAGCGUUGUCCGGAUUUAUUGGGCGUAAAGGGCUCGUAGGUGGUUUGUCACGUCGGGAGUGAAAACACGGGGCUUAACCCCGUGCCUGCUUCCGAUACGGGCAGACUAGAGGUAUGCAGGGGAGAACGGAAUUCCUGGUGUAGCGGUGAAAUGCGCAGAUAUCAGGAGGAACACCGGUGGCGAAGGCGGUUCUCUGGGCCGAUACUGACGCUGAGGAGCGAAAGCGUGGGGAGCGAACAGG